rnacentral:lncRNA from 1 species
UGUUGGGAUUUCUAUACUCUCUUUCAAGAGCUUAGAAAGGCAGAGUCUUCAUCUCUUUACUGAGAGAGAUUGUGAGGGAUCGUUGAAAGGGAGUGUGUCUGCCCAGCAAAAACAGACAACACAAAGAAGCAUUCUGAUGAAACACAAAUAUUGUCAUAGGAGAAAAGAGAUGAGCAGUAAAACCCCAAUUUUAAAGAGGAACAAAGCAGCACUUGUUUAAGGGGAAGACCAUAUGCAUCAAUAAUGUAUAGCCAAAGAGAUGGAUUGAGGAGGAAAAAAGAUCUUCUGACCCCAGCUUCUGGUUUUAUCUUAAUUUUUUUCUGGACUUGUGUGAUUAAGUUAUCUGGACGAGAAGGACAAAGUACAGUAUUCUUUAAUGGAAUAUCAUUGCUUCCACAAUCAGCAGAGAGAGGUAACAACUUAGGAUACAUUUUAAUAUAACUUACUGUGUCAGAUUUAGCAAAUUAAUUAUCAAAGAGAUAUUAAAAGUAGGCAUAUGGUGACUUUCAUGCACCACCAAAAUUG